AAACUAACAAGGAUUCCCCUAGUAACGGCGAGCGAACCGGGAAGAGCUCAAAUUUGAAAUCUGGCGUCCUCCGGGCGUCAGAGUUGUAAUCUACAGAGGCGUUUUCCGCGCCGGUCCGUGUCCAAUUCCCUUGGAACAGGGUAUCAAAGAGGGUGACAAUCCCGUACUUGACACGACCGCCGGUGCUUUGUGAUACGUCUUCUAAGAGUCGAGUUGUUUGGGAAUGCAGCUCAAAACGGGUGGUAAAUCCCAUCUAAGGCUAAAUAUUGGCGAGAGACCGAUAGCGAACAAGUACCGUGAGGGAAAGAUGAAAAGCACUUUGGAAAGAGAGUUAAACAGUACGUGAAAUUGUUGAAAGGGAAACGAUUGAAGUCAGUCGUGUCCGAGGGGUUCAGCCGGUCCUGCCGGUGCAUUCCUCUCGGACGGGUCAACAUCGGUUUUGUCCGGCGGAAAAGGGCGUGAGGAAUGUGGCACCUCCGGGUGUGUUAUAGCCUCGCGUCGCAUACGUCGGUCGAGACCGAGGAACGCAGCUCGCCUUCAUGGCCGGGGUUCGCCCACGUACGAGCUUAGGAUGUUGACAUAAUGGCUUUAAACGAC
rnacentral:rRNA from 1 species